CCUUAGAGUUUGAUCCUGGCUCAGGACGAAUGCUGGCGGCGUGCUUAACACAUGCAAGUCGAACGGAGCUUUAUGGAUUGAGACUUCGGUCAAAUGAAGUAAAGCUUAGUGGCGGACUGGUGAGUAACGCGUGAAGAACCUGCCUUUCAGAGGGGGACAACAGUUGGAAACGACUGCUAAUACCGCAUAACGUGCGAUGGGGGCAUCCCUGACGCACCAAAGAUUUUAUCGCUGAAAGAUGGCUUCGCGUCUGAUUAGCUAGUUGGUGAGCCGUUACCUCACCAAGGCGACGAUCAGUAGCCGGACUGAGAGGUUGACCGGCCACAUUGGGACUGAGAUACGGCCCAGACUCCUACGGGAGGCAGCAGUGGGGAAUAUUGGGCAAUGGACGCAAGUCUGACCCAGCAACGCCGCGUGAAGGAAGAAGGCUUUCGGGUUGUAAACUUCUUUUACCAGGGACGAAGAACGUGACGGUACCUGGAGAAAAAGCAACGGCUAACUACGUGCCAGCAGCCGCGGUAAUACGUAGGUUGCAAGCGUUGUCCGGAUUUACUGGGUGUAAAGGGCGUGUAGGCGGAGCUGCAAGUCAGAUGUGAAAUCCCGGGGCUCAACCCCGGAACUGCAUUUGAAACUGUAGCCCUUGAGUAUCGGAGAGGCAAGCGGAAUUCCUAGUGUAGCGGUGAAAUGCGUAGAUAUUAGGAGGAACACCAGUGGCGAAGGCGGCUUGCUGGACGACAACUGACGCUGAGGCGCGAAAGCGUGGGGAGCAAACAGGAUUAGAUACCCUGGUAGUCCACGCUGUA
rnacentral:rRNA from 1 species